AAACAAGUGCACUUGCAAAUAAUAAUUUGCUUCCUCCCACAAAACGAAAUAUUCUAAAUUAAAUAAUAUUUCUGCCACGAGAGUUCACACAAUCGCAGAAUAAGACGCAGGUGGGUGUGAGUGGUCAGCAUCAUGACCCGGCUACGCUUUACCCCUGGAAAGGACCCUGGUACCCACUGGAUAGGAGGCUGGUUGGCUGGCCUGGACGCAGAGGCAAGAGGAAAAAUCCUUUUCUAUACCGCGGGCCGUUUUGAAUAUUCAUAUUCUUGAAUACAAGCAACCGUCACGUUGGAAAUACCGAGUGCAGGAAAACACAAAACUGAAGAAUAUUCACACACCUUCACAAUGCUUGCCAUCAGAAUGCAGCUCAAAUCCAAUUCUACAAGAACACUCAUACCCGCCAAGAGUAUUUAUGCAGUUAUGUUCACAGCCAUGGGUUUGUAGCGCACAUUCAUCAAACUCUGCAACACCAAUUGUUUAUUUUAAGCAUCAAUUUUACAUGACCAGUGGAUUUAAAUCCCAAACUGCCAGAAUGCUAGCCAGAGUUUAAUCUCAGGGUUUAGCGGUAUGCUAGUGUGACACACAACCAGUUGGGUCAUAUGUAUAAGCCUCAACACAUGGAUGGUCAAUGAUAAUGUAAGUUAAUAAUACAAGUAAGUGCUACUUAAAAAUGUAACUA